ACUUUGCAUUAGUUGUUACCUUUGUUUUUAAAACUUUAUACAUACAUACAUGUGUCAGUACAAAAUGUUAAUGAGGAAAUUAAAAAAAUUAACUUUUGUAAAGGCUCCACCAUUGUUUUAUGGCUAGCAGAAACCAACUGUACUUCACCUUCAUUUUCAAUUUUUGUACUGGCCCAUGGAAAUAUUAAAUAGUUG